UGGGGAAUAUUGGACAAUGGGCGAAAGCCUGAUGCAGCAACGCCGCGUGAGGGACGACGGCCUUCGGGUUGUAAACCUCUUUUAGCAAGGAAGAAGCGAAAGUGACGGUACUUGCAGAAAAAGCGCCGGCUAACUACGUGCCAGCAGCCGCGGUAAUACGUAGGGCGCAAGCGUUAUCCGGAAUUAUUGGGCGUAAAGAGCUCGUAGGCGGUUUGUCGCGUCCGCUGUGAAAACCCGAGGCUCAACCUCGGGCCUGCAGUGGGUACGGGCAGACUAGAGUGCGGUAGGGGAGAUUGGAACUCCUGGUGUAGCGGUGGAAUGCGCAGAUAUCAGGAAGAACACCGAUGGCGAAGGCAGAUCUCUGGGCCGUAACUGACGCUGAGGAGCGAAAGGGUGGGGAGCAAACAGGCUUAGAUACCCUGGUAGUCCACCCCGUAACGUUGGGAACUAGUUGUGGGGUCCAUUCCACGGAUUCCGUGACGCAGCUAACGCAUUAAGUUCCCCGCCUGGGGAGUACGGCCGCAAGGCUAAACUCAAAUGAAUUGACGGGGUCAUAGCUGUUUCCU
rnacentral:rRNA from 1 species